CUAAAGUGAUUUGCCUGUGGUUGUUCGGUGCGCAGGGUGAGAUGAUCGACCGCAUCGAGUACAACGUGGAGCAGGCCGUGGACUACAUCGAGACGGCCAAGAUGGACACCAAAAAGGCGGUCAAGUACCAGAGCAAAGCCCGGCGGAAAAAGAUAAUGAUAAUUGUGUGUAUCUUGGUGCUACUGGUGAUCAUUGCCAUCAUUAUUGCCGUCGCGGUGCAAUAAAGACGUCGCUGCGACACCUGCUGCUGCUGCUGCUGCUGCGGGCUGCAGGUUGUGGGCUCCGAGUUGCGUCGAUGCAAGCUGUAGGGCCCACUGAUACAUACGCAAGUUGUCCGCGGGAGAGCGGGCUGAAACUAACUAGCCGCUGUUUGUCGCCGGCCGUGAAGUGACAGAUUUUGAGCCGCUCGCCGUGUGCUUGAGGUGUCACUGAUAUGGCUUGGCGAUACAACUCUUUAUGAACAGGGUCUUUUUUUUUGGUUUUUUGUUUUGUUUUUGUGACUAGUUCUAUUUUGUAAACUGUUAGGCUACUUAAGUUCUCUUGUCUGUUUCAAUUACUGUAAAUUGAGAGUGUUCAGAACAUUUAUGUACUGAAAUGUGAUCCAAAUCAUUUCUUUUUUUUUUCUGAGUUUUUUUUUGUUAGAGGAGGUGAUGCCAAUUUUUUAUUUUUAGAUUUAUUUUUUUUGGAGAGGUGAUGCUGAUUUUUUGUUUCCCAAUGUUUUUGGGGAAGAAAGCAAGCCUGGCCUUACCUUGUCACUGGUGGAUGGACUAUCCACGAAAAGGAAAGUUGUUUUAUAGAACAUUUCAGUUGUCUGAACUGACGUACCUAGAUUCAGGCAACUGAGUUAUGUAUCGACUUUUUUUUAGAAGUGUGUCUGAGGGUGAUACGAAACCUUCAAAUGUCCUGAGAUGUUGUUGCAAGGAAAUGGUUAGUGAGGGGGAUGAAGGGGAAAAUGUUGCAGGGAAGUGGUUAGUUUGGGAGAUAAAGAUGAAAGUAUAGUGAGAAAGAUCAAGAUGAAAGUAUAAUGAAGGAGACAAAGAUGAAAGUAUAGUGAGGGAGGUAUAGAAGGAGACAAAGAUGAAAGUAUAGUGAGGGAGGUAUAGAAGGAGACAAAGAU